rnacentral:rRNA from 1 species
UACGGAGGGGGCUAGCGUUGUUCGGAAUUACUGGGCGUAAAGCGCACGUAGGCGGCUUUGUAAGUUAGAGGUGAAAGCCCCGGGCUCAACCUGGGAAUGGCAUUGGAAACUGGCUUGCUGGAGUGUGGCAGAGGGGGGUGGAAUUCCGCGUGUAGCAGUGAAAUGCGUAGAGAUGCGGAGGAACACCGAUGGCGAAGGCAGCCCCCUGGGCCAACACUGACGCUCAGGCACGAAAGCGUGGGGAGCAAACAGG